rnacentral:rRNA from 1 species
AUUGAACGCUGGCGGCAUGCUUUACACAUGCCAGUCGAACGGUAACAGGCCUUCGGGUGCUGACGAGUGGCGAACGGGUGAGUAAUGCAUCGGAACGUACCCAGAGGUGGGGGAUAACGCAGCGAAAGCUGUGCUAAUACCGCAUGUGAUCUGAGGAUGAAAGCGGGGGACCGAGCAGCAACGUUUGGCCUCGCGCCUUUGGAGCGGCCGAUGUCGGAUUAGCUAGUUGGUGGGGUAAAGGCCUACCAAGGCGACGAUCCGUAGCUGGUCUGAGAGGACGACCAGCCACACUGGGACUGAGACACGGCCCAGACUCCUACGGGAGGCAGCAGUGGGGAAUUUUGGACAAUGGGCGCAAGCCUGAUCCAGCAAUGCCGCGUGCGGGAAGAAGGCCUUCGGGUUGUAAACCGCUUUUGGCAGGAACGAAACGGUGUCCGCUAAUACCGGGCGCUAAUGACGGUACCUUCAGAAUAAGCACCGGCUAACUACGUG